rfam:Asian citrus Psyllid, Diaphorina citri - Florida Strain, whole genome shotgun sequence.
ACCUCGGUGGUGUAGUGGUCAAGGUGCUCGCCUGGUAAACAGGAGAACGUGGGUUCGAUCCCAUCCAAAGUG